GUUCGGGCCUUGCGCUAUCAGAUGAGCCUAGGUCGGAUUAGCUAGUUGGUGAGGUAAUGGCUCACCAAGGCGACGAUCCGUAACUGGUCUGAGAGGGAUGAUCAGUCACACUGGAACUGAGACACGGUCCAGACUCCUACGGGAGGCAGCAGUGGGGAAUAUUGGACAAUGGGCGAAAGCCUGAUCCAGCCAUGCCGCGUGUGUGAAGAAGGUCUUCGGAUUAGUAAAGCUACUUUAAGUUGGGAGGAAGGGUUGUAGAUUAAUACUCUGCUAAUUUUGUACGUUACCGACAGAAAUAAGCACCGGCUAACUCUGUG
rnacentral:rRNA from 1 species